CCUGAAUUCUUUCCUCUCAAUUCCCUCCAUUCAUUAAAGGGAGCCAAAAUGAUCCCAUGGCUGAAGUUGUUCUCCUUGUUAGUGCUACUUCAAGGAGUCCAGUCUGAAGUCCAGUUGGUGGAGUCUGGAGGGGAUGUGAGACGACCUGGAGAGUCCCUCCAUCUCUCCUGCCAAGCCUCUGGAUUCUCCUUCAGCGACUAUGCCAUGAGCUGGGUGAGACAGGCUCCACGGAAGGGCCUGGAAUGGGUGGCAUUCAUACAUACAGCCUCAUCUCCAAUUUACUACUCAGAAAAAAUGAAGGGACGCUUCAUCAUCUCCAGGGAUGAUUCCCACAGCCAGCUGUAUCUGCAAAUGAACAGCCUCAAAGUAGAGGAUUCUGCUGUUUAUUUCUGUACGAAAUACACAGUGAGAGGAAGUGAAUCGGAUGCCCAGCAAAAACCUUCCCUUCCUCUCAGCAGCUCUCCAAAUGAUUCAGUCAAAGGAAGUUGUGUAUUUGAACUUAGAAGCUGA